rnacentral:lncRNA from 1 species
GAAAACUUUGAGAUUAAACUGAAGAAUUAUGGAGAAUGUAGUGAGAGAAUUUAGAGAAAAGGAGGAGCGUCUGAGAGAACUCUCUAGAAGAGAGAGAGUUUAUUAAUCAGAAAAUGAAACAAAAUGAAUCCGUCCACAAAAUAUCUGAUACAUGGCAAUAUAUACGCCUAGCAUUGGGUCGGGUCAGACGACCCAAUGAUGAAAAGAAAAUGGGGCUCAGAUACAUAUUGGGCUCAGACACACCUUUAGCCCAAACAACAAAUUAAUCAUCAUAGCCCAUACAAUGUAUAUCAGAGAAUACAAUGUAUAUAGAGUGUGUACAAUCAUGUAAGCUCUUUCAUCUCAACAACCAUAACCGUGCUGACUUGAUUUGGAACAAGCGGACCAGGCAGGAAUUAAGAGAGUUGUUGUAGGCUGAGGUUCAUAAUCUAAAUGUUGAAAAAGAACGCACUGAGGAUAUUGUUCCUGGCGGUGCAAAUAGAGACUCAAUAACAUAAAUAUACAAUGUGUAUACAGUGUGUACAAUCAUGUAAGCUCUUUCAUCUCAACACCCUCCUCAAGUUGGAGGGGGAAACCACCUGCAACUUGGAUAACAACGGAAGAAGCACAGUGCCGGGCAAUGGCUUAGUGAGCAGGUCGGCCAGUUGACGAGAAGUAGGAACAUGAAGCAGCUUGAGAAACCAGUUUGUAGCAAGUCCCCAACAAAAUGGCAGUCUACCUCGAUAUGUUUGGUACGUUCAUGAAAAACAGGAUUGUUAGCAAUAUGGACAGCAGCCUGACUAUCACAAUAUACAGAAAUAGGAGAAGAAACGUCGGCCAGUUGACGAGAAGUAGGAACAUGGAGCAGCUUGAGAAAACCAGUUUGUAGCAAGUCCCGAACAAAAUGGCAGUCCACCUCGAUAUGUUUGGUACGUUCAUGAAAAACAGGAUUGUUAGCAAUAUGGACAGCAGCCUGACAAUCACAACAUACAGAAAUAGGAGAAGAAACAGAUACCCCACUAUCAACCAACAAGCGAGAAACCCAAGUUAACUCAGCAACAACUUUGCUGAGGGCUCUAUAUUCUGCCUCAGCAGAAGACAGAGAAACAACAGGUUGCUUCUUGAAUUUCCAACUGAUCAAGCAACCACCCAAAAGCACACAAAAUUCAGUAACAGAUCGUCUAGUAUCAGGGCAUGCAGCCCAGUCACUAUCAGAAUAGCCAGUAACAG